rnacentral:misc_RNA from 1 species
GAGUUCGCGGGAGAGUAAGUUAUUGCCAGGGUUUUUAUUUUUUUUUAGUUUUUAUGUUAUUUAAAUGGCUUAUUCAAACAACAUAAAAAAGAAAAUAGAUAUUGACAUGGAUUAAACAAAGAUAUAUAUUAUUCUAUGUUGCAUAAACAAAUUGGCAAAGUAGAGAUGGAAGAUAAAAAUAUGGUCAAAGUAAUAAGAGUCUAUGGUGAAUGCC